rnacentral:rRNA from 1 species
GACGAACCAUGCAAACGUUAUUCGGAUUCACUGGGCUUAAAGCGUGCGUAGGCGGCGAUGUUGGUCAGGUGUGAAAGCCCUCAGCCCAACUGAGGAAUUGCGCUUGAUACUGCAUUGCUAGAGAAUGAUAGAGGUGGGUGGAACUGAUGGUGGAGCGGUGAAGUGCGUUGAUAUCAUCAGGAACACCAGUGGCGAAGGCGACCCACUGGGUCAUUUCUGACGCUGAGGUACGAAAGCUAGGGUAGCGAACGGG